AUAUAAUUAUUAAUAUUAAUUAAUUGAAUUAUUGGUCUAAUUAGUUAUUACUCGUGAUAGACUCUACUCUAGGAUUAAGUGACUUUUUUUUCUUUCCAUUAUACAUUUAGGUAAUGGAAUGAUACUAUAAGUUAUGGGGAAGGACAAUCGAUGUUUUAUCACCCGUUAGUUUGAUAAUUUUGAGUGAUUGAAGUAUAGUAUAGCAAAAGAUGUAGCAUUUUGUCGUUAUUGCUACUUUUCAAAUGUGAUUUUGAUAAAGUGAGAAAUGAUGGAAGUGAUGUCUUCACUGAGAAACGGUUUACUAAUUGGAGGUAAGGAUUCGAAAAUUUUCGCCCCUCCACCCAACAAUUCCUAGCUUCGCCACUGACAGUGUAGCAAGUUUUUACCGUUUUUAGAAGUCAACAGCAGUCCAUUUCUUGAUGCAUGGUCCAAGGAAAAGAACUCCAGAAAAGGUGAAAGAGAAAAAGAAAUGGCAGUGCAAAUUUGGCAAAAUAACAUGUUACAUACACAGAAGGAUUAACGAGUCCUUGGAGCCUCUCCAUUAUUACCGUGCAGUUUAGGGGAAGCUAGCUUAAUUGUUUAAAAUUGUUCGAUCUCUUUCACUAAUAAAUGAGUCCCCAUAUGCAAGUGCUUUGAAGAACUCAUUGUGUUCGACCAAAAAAAAGGAACUUAUUUUGUAUGUGUGUGAGAGAGAGAGAGAGGGGUCACAAGUGUUGGUUAAGGUACAUUUUGCACUGCGAGGAACUAGGUACGAUGCCAAGGACUCGCCGGCUCAUUCUGUAUGUUUCGGUGGAGAGUCUUGAUGGAGUCACUAAGCUUGAGCCGGAAGGUGGCUGGGAGAUCCCUUCCCCCGUUACCACAUCCGAGUUGAUUGCAAGAAAUGUAACGGAGAGAUUUUGGAAAUUGGUCAUCUUCCAUUGUAUUUGUGUGCAGGUGUGAUGGAAGAUGCUCAAUACCAUAGAGCCUUAACUUGCCCAAAGCGUAUGGGGAACGGUGGUUUGAGGGUUCUGAGAAGGGGAGGGAAACCAAUCACUGUUGAAGGAGAAGAAGUGGCAGUAGUAGAGAUAGAGGUUGUUGGCCCUUUUCAUGUGCACAAGAAGAUCAAACUGUUCUACUUUUGGUGGAUAUGCAGAAAGUGUAAGUACCAGUUUGUCACAGGAUGAUGGCAGUGGAGAACUUGUGGGGCCUUUUUCUGUGGAAAAAGAUGGAGACUCUGCCUUUAGGGUUUCAGGCGACGAAUCUGAUGAUGAAGGUGAACUUUUGGAAACCAAAGGGAUCAAAGGAUGGUUCCAGGUCACACCAUGGGAAGAAGAGGUGGAGGGACUCGGGAUCAAGGAGGCUUCCAGGUCUUCCCAGGCUUCCGAUUCUGAUUCGAGUUCAGAGGAUUCAGAUGAUUAAUUCAGGUGCAUUGGUGCAUGCUUUAGGGAGGCUAAUAUAUAUACAUAUAUAUCUAUCCAUCUAUCUUCCAACUAUUAAUUAUAUUUUCUGUGUAAGACUGAUAUCUUAGUUUAGUUUUGCUGGAUAGGAUGUGGAGGAGUUUGUUUGAACUUUCUGGUAUUUCUUAACUAGCUAGUUUUCAUGUACUUCAAUAACUCAUUAUUUGGUGUUAAGUUGAAAACUUUUGAGUUUCUAUAUAUGUAUGCAGUUGCUCUGGUAAAGCAGAUAAGCAUAGGUUUGCACUUGACUGGUAGAGGGUAAAAUGUUCAUCUUUCUUUAUUAUACAAUUAAUUUAGCAAGCUUUUUAGUACAUGUCAUUUCAAUUCAUAGCAUGUGGUGGUUUAGAACAAAGACCUUGAUUUGUCCAUUCAUAACUGAAGUAGAUAGAUAUGUUGAUUAAUGUAUACCUAAAUGAUGUGGACUUUUAACUCAUAAUUUGAAAAUCCCAUCUCCAAAAGUAAUUUGGGACAAAGAAAUUAAGUUAUAAAUUAUAAAUUAACAAUAAAUGCAUAUGUGUGAGCUGGCUUGGUCAUUAUGCUUGUGCUUUGACACACAGUUCGAAUCUCCUUCUUUAUAAACUAGACCAGUUUAGAAUAUCGCUUUCCAGAAAGGAAAAAAAACACAUUAAGCCCCAAAGCUUUAGCUGUUGAUGUUUAAGUUGGACCUUGUAAUGUUGUUUAAUGGUUAAAUUAAUAGUAUAAGUGAACUCUGUAAAUGCCUUUCUGAUUGGUGGUUGAAACAUUAGCCAUCCAUGUUUAUGUCAUGAAAACUAAAUAUACUACUGAUGUGGAAAUAACAACGAAAUUACAAUCAUUGCAUAUUAAUUAAUUUUAGCAGAACCAUAUAUCUCUAAGAACUUGUUUCCUGAGACUCUUGAGUCACCAUUUAUAAUAUAAAUCAUAUAAGCUGUUGUGUUUGUGUAGCUUGGACGCCGGACAUCCGAUAAAUUUGGAAUUAUACGAACAUUGUAGUUUCACACUGGUAUGCAAUCAUAGAAAAAAUGACUUUCACGCACUCCUUUUUUCUUUUGGAUGACCCUCGUAUUUACUCAUGUCAUUUGAUUGUUUUUCAAUUUGUUUAAUUCAAAGGUUAGAAAUAAAUAAAAUUGUGCAUAAGAAGAAAAAUGAUGUGCGGAAAUUACUUCUUUUUCUACCUUCAUAUUUUAUGGGUUACAAAAUAACUCUGCAACUAUAAAAUAUAUAAUAUGCCACAAUUAAAGAACUUGUUUUGAUGAGAACCUGAAUCACCAUAUCACUUCAUAUCAUCAAAUAAGCCACUGUGUUUUGUAGCAUUUGAUUUUUAUAUGCCAAGGGAUGUAACCCUGCACCAAAAUAAAGAGAGAAAAAGAGAAACCAAUAAUCCUAGUACCACUAGUGUUUUGCCACUUUGCAAGGCUAAUAUACAAAUGGAAAAAAGGGAAAGAGAUCCUCUCCGGAUCUCUUCCAUCAAGGUCACCGGAUCAAGUGAUCUGGGCCUUUAAAAUUUCAUCCAACGGCAAAAAAUUAUUAUAGCUCUUAAGAGAUCAAAACAGAUGGGCCGUUAGAUGAAAUUUCAAAGGUCCAGAUCACUUGAUCCAGUGACCUUUGUGAAAGAGAUCCGGAAAGGAUCUCUUUCCGAAAGAAAGGCCUUUGAUAGAGACUUCUAUUGAAGUAAUUAAGCUUUUACUAUAAGAUUAAUGAACAAAAGUUUUUCACAAUCUUGUGAAGAUAGUCCAGUGAAAGAUAGAUUUGGAUGAAGAAAGUUGAGGUUCCACAAUAAAAUCAAUUGGCAAUAUGGAGUGAAACUGAUUAUUUUUAAGCACAUGUAAGGUUCCUCAUAUUCCGACGUGAGAUUGAUACUCUCAACAUGGCCCCUCAUGUGUGGGGAUUUUCAAGUCUAGCGCGUGGACAACACAAAUCGGGUGAUGUGGAGCAUGUGUGGCCGUUAGGCUUCAUGCACGGAGCAACCUGCUCUAGUGCUAUGAAGAAAGUUGAGAUUCUAUCAAUCAAUUGAUAAUAUGGAGGAUAACUCAAUUACUUAUAAGCACAUAUAAGAUCUCUCAUUUCUCGAUGUGGAAUUAAUUCUCUCAACUUAGUGCCGGGAAUUAACCAGGGACAUAAUAUGAUUUCCACUUAAUCGUUUUGGGCGAAGAUGCACGUUCAGUGGUCUCAAAUAAAUAAACAGCAGGUAUACCUUUAGAGAUGGGACUUAAAUUAUAAUUGAAUUAUGAAGAUAAGAUGCACAAUAAUCAACAACUACUGUUUUCAACACCUUAGGAGCUUCGGAUGAUAGCUAGAACUCAUAGAAGUGGUGCACUACAAACUCAUUGUGGGGAAAUGAAAUUUCAGUACUGAUCAAUUGUCUCAGGCUAAAAAAACAAGUACUGACUUUUGUCACUAACUCAAACACAAAAUGAACAAAUUAAAAAACAUAUAAUCAUUAGUCUGCUACUAUUCUUCCGUUGACAGAUAAACACAAUAUAUAUGUGUGUGUGUGUAUUCUACAUGCAUAAACUUACUCAAAACACAAAAUGAAAAAAAAAAAAAAAAAAUACAAAAAAUUUGUAACUCAGUUGGUUAAGAACAUUCACCUUACAUCUGAGAUCUUGAGUUCAUUCCCUCGCUUAUAUGAAAGAAAAAUGAGCAAUUGGAUUUUUGUAAUUGUAUAUCUGGCUUAUGGGAUUAGGUACUUCUAUAUAAUCUCUACAUUACAAUCACAAAAUCUAACUAAUGAAUGGUAAAAUUUGAAUAUUGUAGUUCCAAUAUCAGAUUAAUUAGUGAUCCAUUUGAAAAUAAGAUGAACUAUACUGGUGCUCUAAUUAAAUGACCAAAAGCAUGCAUCUUUUAUAUAUUAGUUUUCUUGAAGAACACCAGUUGGUGAUCUGAUCUGAUGAAAGUACAUUCAGAUUACCCCCCACCAAAAAAACAAAUUCAGUAUACACUUAAAAUUCCUUGCUUAACUUUUAUGUCUUAAAAUAUAAAAUUUGUUUUGCAUAUGCUAAUUCUACGAGUUAUUAUAUUGGCAGCCUCCAAGACAACAUGCAGCAUGCAUAACACACAGAAAGAGGGAGGGAGGGAGAAAUAAAUACCUCAAACAAAGCUGUCCUUGGGAUGACAGUAAUCACUUCUCCACAAGAGACCUUUUGUAUUCUUAGUUCAGAAACAUUUUCUAUUGUUGAUGAGUGAGUGAUUGAAGCUGCAAGAUGAUCUGGUUGAACAACCUAUAUAUACAUAUAUAUAUAUAUUAUAUCUAGUUAAUUGAAAAUAUGAAUGCAAGAUUUUGUUUUCCAAAAACAGGCUUCUGAUCAAUCUGUAUAAUUUUUAAUUGAAACAGAAAAGGAAAAAAAUUGUAAUCAGCAGGAUAUAUGCCAAUUACUCUCUUGGUUAAUUGACUAAAAAAUAAAAACCCUUUUCUCCAAAAACAUGAAAUAAUCAAGAUCUAUAUAUAAUUAAAUGAGAUCUAAAAUACAUAUAUAUGGGGAAUACUAUGUAUAUAUGAUAGCUAUGGUUAUGUAUAUCAGAUCAUGCUGGCAGCUUCAAGCUCUCAAACCAACAAACCAGACAAG